AUGAAAGUCAAACAGUCCUUGUUUAAUAAGACGAAGUUUGUUAUUGGAAACGGCACGAGUACACGUUUCUGGGAGGAUACUUGGCUCGGCGAGACACCCUUGGCCAUCCAAUAUCCGUCUUUAUACCGCAUUGUUCAACGACGUGAGGUGUUCGUCGCAUCGGUCUUUCAAUCUACCCCCCUUAAUAUUCAGUUCCGACGAACGCUAGCGGGCAAUCGUUGGGAAGAAUGGCUCCGUCUAGUUAGGAGACUGAUGGAGGUCCAGCUUUCACAACAACCCGAUGAAUUACGCUGGAAAUUGACUAAGUCUGGAGUAUUCACGGUUAAAUCAAUGUAUAUUGAUGUUAUUAAUUCGAACUCCAUUCCUACGUCCAAGCAUGUUUGGGAUGUCAAAGUUCCUUUGAAAAUAAAAGUGUUUAUGUGGUUUGUCCAUAAACAAGUUAUUUUAACUAAGGACAACUUGAUAAAGCGUAAUUGGACAGGACCUGCUAGGUGUAGUUUCUGCGAUCGGAAUGAGACUAUCAAACACCUCUUUUUUGAUUGCCCGUUGGCCAAGGUACUUUGGCAGACGGUCCACAUUGCUUUUAAUAUCAAUCCACCGAAUUCUGUUAAUGCGUUAUUUGGGACAUGGCUUAAUGGGAUUGAGCCUGACUUAGCGAGACAUAUUCGGGUUGGAGUUUGUGCUUUGCUGUGGACUAUCUGGACUUGCAGAAAUGAUUUGGUUUUUAACAGAAUAUCAUGUAUACCUUUUUUGCAGGUCAUAUUCUGA
rnacentral:rRNA from 1 species